rnacentral:rRNA from 1 species
AUUGAACGCUGGCGGCAGGCCUAACACAUGCAAGUCGAGCGAGCGGCGGACGGGUGAGUAAUGUAUGGGGACUGCCCGAUAGAGGGGGCUAACUCCUGGAAACGGUAAUUAAUCCCGCAUACAAUCGGAUACCCUCUAUGGGAUUAGCUGGUGGGGGGGGUAAUGGCGCACCUAGCGGACGAUCCCUAGCUGGUCUGAGAGGAUGAUCAGCCACACUGGGACUGAGACACGGCCCAGACUCCUACGGAGGCAGCAGUGGGGAAUAUUGCACAAUGGGCGCAAGCCUGAUGCAGCCAUGCCGCGUGUAUGAAGAAGGCCCUAGGGUUGUAAAGUACUUUCAGUCGGGAGGCGUUACCGACAGAAGAAGCACCGGCUAACUCCGUGCCAGCAGCCGCGGUAAUUC